rnacentral:rRNA from 1 species
UACGUAGGGUGCAAGCGUUGUCCGGAAUUAUUGGGCGUAAAGGGUGCGUAGGCGGUUUGGUAAGUCUGAUGUGAAAUCUAUGGGCUCAACUCAUAGUCUGCAUCGGAAACUGCCGGGCUUGAGUAUGGGAGAGGUGAGUGGAAUUCCUGGUGUAGCGGUGAAAUGCGUAGAUAUCAGGAGGAACACCUGUGGCGAAGGCGGGUCUCUGGGCCGAUACUGACGCUGAGGAGCGAAAGCGUGGGGAGCGAACAGG